ensembl:snoRNA
AUCCUUUUGUAAUUCAUAAACAUGAUGAUUGGGUAUGAUACUCGUGUGAGAUACGCUUCCCUCAAAACUUAUAAUGUUAGCACAUUACCCAUCUGACA